UGCCUACGGGGCGCAGCAGUAGGGAAUCUUCCACAAUGGGGGAAACCCUGAUGCAGCGACGCCGCGUGGGCGAUGGAGUGCUUCGGCAUGUAAAGCCCUAUCAGCAGGGAAGAAAAUGACGGUACCUGACUAAGAAGCCCCGGCUAAAUACGUGCCAGCAGCCGCGGUAAUACGUAUGGGGCAAGCGUUAUCCGGAUUUACUGGGUGUAAAGGGAGCGUAGGCGGCCUGGCAAGCCUGAUGUGAAAUACCGGGGCCCAACCCCGUGGCUGCAUUGGGAACUGCCAGGCU
rnacentral:rRNA from 1 species